CCACCGACACCCAGAGCCUCGAGGCGCAGACUGUCUGACUCUCCAUCCUGCCCGCCGGAGGAGGAUGGCACCUCCGGGAGUGCAGGGGGCGCUGAGGCAGGAGUGGAGGAAACGCCACCUCUUGCCCGCGGCGCUGGAGCCUCCACGGUUGUCCGGCUCCCACAGCGGAAGGCCUGCCACGCACCCAUCCUCCGAAGACCAGCGAACCCACCUUUACGCUCAGCUUCGCUGUCGGCGUCGCUCCCGAAGAGAUCCUCCAUAUCCGCCAUUAUCGCUCACGUCCGCUGCUGCCUCGGUUAGGGGCAGCUCCCGGCCUCUCUUUACGGCACGGAACCACUGAAACACGACAGUGUCGCAAAGAUUCGCCGAAGACACUCCUUUCCUUACGUGACCUAGUUUUCGCUCGCCCAGUGAACCUGUUCUCGCCUGGGAAUGCUUUGCCUUUUAUCUUUCCUUUGGAAGCAGUAUCCAUAAGCCUUCAUCAGAAGCUUCUAAAAGUGGAAGGGAUUUUUCUUUGUUAGAAAGGACCACGGGCUAAUUAAAGGAGAUUGCUAU
rnacentral:lncRNA from 1 species